rnacentral:rRNA from 1 species
CCUACGGGAGGCAGCAGUGGGGAAUAUUGGGCAAUGGGCGCAAGCCUGACCCAGCAACGCCGCGUGAAGGAAGAAGGCUUUCGGGUUGUAAACUUCUUUUCUCAGGGACGAAGCAAGUGACGGUACCUGAGGAAUAAGCCACGGCUAACUACGUGCCAGCAGCCGCGGUAAUACGUAGGUGGCAAGCGUUAUCCGGAUUUACUGGGUGUAAAGGGCGUGUAGGCGGGAAAGCAAGUCAGAUGUGAAAACCAUGGGCUCAACCUGUGGCCUGCAUUUGAAACUGUUUUUCUUGAGUACUGGGGAGGCAGACGGAAUUCCUAGUGUAGCGGUGAAAUGCGUAGAUACUAGGAGGAACACCAGUGGCGAAGGCGGUCUGCUGGACAGCAACUGACGCUGAGGCGCGAAAGCGUGGGGAGCAAACAGGAUUAGAUACCCGGGUAGUC